UUUGAAACACCAGUUCCCAUAUGGUCAGUAAAGUUAAGCAAUGUUGAGACUAGUCAGUACCUAGGUGGGUGACCACUUGGGAAAACCAAGUGCUGUCAG